rnacentral:rRNA from 1 species
GAUGAACGCUGGCGGCGUGCCUAAUACAUGCAAGUCGAGCGAACAGACGAGGAGCUUGCUCCUCUGACGUUAGCGGCGGACGGGUGAGUAACACGUGGAUAACCUACCUAUAAGACUGGGAUAACUUCGGGAAACCGGAGCUAAUACCGGAUAAUAUAUUGAACCGCAUGGUUCAAUAGUGAAAGACGGUUUUGCUGUCACUUAUAGAUGGAUCCGCGCCGCAUUAGCUAGUUGGUAAGGUAACGGCUUACCAAGGCAACGAUGCGUAGCCGACCUGAGAGGGUGAUGAGCCACACGGGAACUGAGACACGGUCCAAACUCCUACGGGAGGCAGCAGUAGGGAAUCUUACGCAAAGGGCGAGAGCCUGACGGAGCAACGCCGCGUGAGUGAUGAAGGUCUUCGGAUCGUAAAACUCUGUUAUUAGGGAGGAACAAAUGUGUAAGUAACUAUGCACGUCUUGACGGUACCGAAUCAGAAAGCCACGGCUAACUACGUG